rnacentral:rRNA from 1 species
GGGCUGCAGUGGGGAAUUUUGGACAAUGGGCGCAAGCCUGAUCCAGCCAUUCCGCGUGAGUGAAGAAGGCCUUCGGGUUGUAAAGCUCUUUCGCAAGGGAAGAAAACUUACAUUCUAAUAAAGUGUGAGGCUGACGGUACCUUGAUAAGAAGCACCGGCUAACUACGUGCCAGCAGCCGCGGUAAUACGUAGGGUGCGAGCGUUAAUCGGAAUUACUGGGCGUAAAGCGUGCGCAGGCGGUUUUGUAAGUCAGAUGUGAAAUCCCCGAGCUCAACUUGGGAACUGCGUUUGAAACUACAAGACUAGAAUAUGUCAGAGGGGGGUAGAAUUCCACGUGUAGCAGUGAAAUGCGUAGAGAUGUGGAGGAAUACCAAUGGCGAAGGCAGCCCCCUGGGAUAAUAUUGACGCUCAUGCACGAAAGCGUGGGGAGCAAACAGGAUUAGAUACCCCAGUAGUC